GUCCACACGGUAAACGAUGGAUACUCGCUGUUGGCGAUAUACUGUCAGCGGCCAAGCGAAAGCAUUAAGUAUCCCACCUGGGGAGUACGCCGGCAACGGUGAAACUCAAAGGAAUUGACGGGGGCCCGCACAAGCGGAGGAACAUGUGGUUUAAUUCGAUGAUACGCGAGGAACCUUACCCGGGCUUAAAUUGCAGACGAAUUACCUGGAAACAGGUAAGCCGCAAAGGCGUCUGUGAAGGUGCUGCAUGGUUGUCGU
rnacentral:rRNA from 1 species